CAGGCUCCUCACUAGGCGUGUCUGCACCUGGCAUGCUGCGAGUAGACAGGUGCUGUUGCACGUUUGUGAGGCACCAUUUCUAUCAGUAUUUGCAGAGGGAUUAUGGACCUUCAGUCAUGUCAAAUACAAGGCAUUAAUCACUCACUAUCGUACCUCUUCUUGCAUUUCUUUUGCACUUGUAUAUUUGUUGUGCCCUUGUUUUCAAGCCAUAUGUGUCUAUUUGCAGCCCUGGACAACCGCAAACCAUUAAGUGGCAGAAACAGUGGCCAAGAUUCUUUGGCAACUUUCAAGGGACGUAGAAAGUGGCCCGGGUGUGGAGAGUGGAUCAAGGACAUCAUACUUUUGUUCUCUCAACUCAAGGGUGCCUGAGAGUAGCUCUAAGAGCCAAGAAAAACCCACCUGUGAGGACCAGGACAAGGAUUUGAGUUGAGAAAUGACACCUUACAGAUGGAAAUCAUAACAGUGCUCACAUUGUCUCCAAACCCUCUCACUGCUGAAAUCAAGAUUUUGAAAAAAUUAAUUCCUGGUUCCAGGUUAAGCUCAAUUUGUGGCAUUAUAUUGUUUACCACAAAAACAUUUUUGACUCGUCCCUCCUCUUUAAAAAAAACAACAGUGAGGGACUCACAAUGAAAGUGAAUGGAGCCAAUCUAGAAACAUUCAAAAACUCACUGUUUCAAACAUAUAGCCACAAGACUUUAACAAUAUGUGUGUUCAUAUGAUUUACAUGUGAAAAAAAAAAUCAUGUACUAAUAAUUUCUGUAUAAAGUUAUGUCCAAUUUUACAACUUUACAACAAAACGUCAUAAGCCCUAAAAUGACUCUAAAAAUAUGAUUUAAACAGCUUUACAGAUCAAAUAAUACACUUUUAGCUAGCCAGCUUUUAACAGAAGAAUUACUGUACAUUACCAUCUAAAGGUUGGGGUCUUAAAAUAUAAAUUAUCAGUGUGAUGAAGCAGCCAUUACUCCAGUCCUCGGUGUCACAUGAUCCUUCAUGUAUCGUUCUAAUGUGCUAAUUUGGUGAAAAAAAAAAAAAAAAACGUUGGUGUUUCUUGUUAUUGUCAGUGAUGAAAACAGUUGUGCUGCUUAACAUUUUGGUGAAACUGUGAUACACUUUUUUUUAGGAUUCUUUGAAAGUUUAAAAGAACAAUAUAUAUUUGAAAUAAAUUUUGUUUUCACUCUUGAUCCA
ensembl:lncRNA